UAUGUCCAUAGAGUCACUCCAGUUGUGACAACUGUAUCACAUGUGCAUCGGUAGGUGGCACAGAUUUAGGUCCACUAUUUGUUUUCUGACCUGUAAAUAUCUGAAUGAUUAGUAACCUAACACU
ensembl:snoRNA LOC120102720 small nucleolar RNA SNORA17